CGAUACCCCUAAAGCAAAGAAAUAGCCAAAUUCCUAAACGAACAUGGUUUUGAUAGGAAUAUAGCGAAGUCAGCUGGUUUUCAUAAUGGCAAAGAAUAUAGUUUAAAAGCUGCUUAAGGAUUCAUUUGAGUUUUAACAAAAUAAACCCAACCAAAAUUGAGAAAGGUUGAAUAUACAUUAUCUUUAUAGAAGAUGGAGUAAUCCGGGGAGCAUGAUGUAUAUAAACCUAAGACUUUAAGAGAAGUGGGACUGUAUUCCUACUCCAGUGAUUCAAGAACAACAAAUUGCUCAAUACAUGUUGAUGUUGUAUGACUGAUACAACACAUGUUGUUGUACCUUCAAAGACCUUCAAAGACAAAGAAAAAGUAAACAAGGAUCAUGUGAUGCAGAAGAUUAUAGAAUAAAUUGCUUCU
rnacentral:lncRNA from 7 species